rnacentral:rRNA from 1 species
CUGAGACACGGUCCAGACUCCUACGGGAGGCAGCAGUGGGGAAUAUUGCACAAUGGGCGCAAGCCUGAUGCAGCCAUGCCGCGUGUGUGAAGAAGGCCUCGGGUUGUAAAGCACUUUCAGCGGGGAGGAAGGCGUUAAGGUUAAUAACCUUGGCGAUUGACGUUACCCGCAGAAGAAGCACCGGCUAACUCCGUGCCAGCAGCCGCGGUAAUACGGAGGGUGCAAGCGUUAAUCGGAAUUACUGGGCGUAAAGCGCACGCAGGCGGUCUGUCAAGUCGGAUGUGAAAUCCCCGGGCUCAACCUGGGAACUGCAUUCGAAACUGGCAGGCUAGAGUCUU